AAUAGAUACCCGGGUAGUCCACGCUGUAAACGGUGGGAACUAGGUGUGGGCAGCAUUCCACGUUGUCUGUGCCGCAGCUAACGCAUUAAGUUCCCCCGCCUGGGGAGUACGGCCGCAAGGCUAAAACUCAAGGGAAUUGACGGGGGGCCCGCACAAGCGGCGGAGCAUGUGGCUUAAUUCGACGCAACGCGAAGAACCUUACCAAGGCUUGACAUGCAUCGGAAGCAUCCAGAGAUGGGUGUGCUCUUUGAGUCGGUGUACAGGUGGUGCAUGGCUGUCGUCAGCUCGUGUCGUGAGAUGUUGGGUUAAGUCCCGCAACGAACGCAACCCUUGUCCUGUGUUGCCAGCGGAGCCUUCGGGGCUGCCGGGGGACUCACGGGAGACUGCCGGGGUCAACUCGGAGGAAGGUGGGGACGACGUCAAGUCAUCAUGCCCCUUAUGUCCUGGGCUGCACACGUGCUACAAUGGCCGGUACAAUGAGCUGCGAUACCGUGAGGUGGAGCGAAUCUCAAAAAGCCGGUCUCGUACG
rnacentral:rRNA from 1 species